GGUUUUAGCUGAGAGGGUUGAUUUUCUUCAUAGUAGCUAGUGUGAGGAUAUGUUUUGGAUUUGUGCUGGAGACAGUGUUGAUAAUAUAGAGAUGUUUUUGUUCUAUGGACUUAUUGUUGAGCAGUGUUUACACAGGGCCAAGGCCUUUUCUGCUUCUUGCACUGCCCUGCCAGCGGGAUGGCUGGGAGUGCACAAGAAGUUGGGAGGAGACAGACAGGACAGGUGACCCAAACUGACCAAAGGGAUAUUCCAUACCAUAUGACGUCAUGCUCAGUUUAUAAGGAGCUUGGGGGGAAGAGAAGGGGGGGGCGGCGGCGUUCGGAGUGAUGGCGUUUGUCUUCCCAAGUAACCGUUAUGCGUGACAGGGCCCUGCUUCCCUGGAGAUGGCUGAACACCUGCCUGCCCAUGGGGAGUGGUGAAUGAAUUCCUUGCUUUGCUUUGCUUGUGCGCGCGGCUUUUGCUUUACCUAUUAAAAUGUCUUUAUCUCAACCCACGAGUUUUCUCACUUUAACUUUUCCAAUUCUCUCCCCCAUCCCGAUGGGGGGGGGGAGCGAGUGAGCGGCUGCGUGGUGCUUAGCUGCCGGCUGGGGUAAAACCACGACAGUCCUUUUUUGGCGCCCAACGUGGGGCACGAAGGGUUCGAGAUAAUGACAGAUUUGAUUGGAAUGUGCUAGAUGAUUGAAUUUAUAGUUGCUAUUAGCUAUUAAUUGGCAGGCUCCUGUGCUUGCCAUGGGGCUUGCUUGCCUUACUGUAUAUUAGAGGCUAGUGCUCGUUAGUGGCUGCUUUUUGCUUUCGCUGCUCGCUGUACUGCUGUACUGCUUAUCAUCUUACUGUGCUGUGCCUGGGAACGUUUUGAUAACAGCAAUGGCGAUGUGCCUGGCCUGGCAGAUGGCCAGGGCACCGCUGCUGUUUCUGUGCUGCUGUCCUGGACAGGCUGGAACUCCUGUGUGCACUCGAGUCAAAGGGACUGUGACCUGUGGAUGAGUCCACGUCGGAGCAGGACACCCCAAAGCGUCUGUGGCUGUGGUUGUGUCUGUGCCGCAGCAGGUAUAUCUCGAAGUGUCUGGGGCCGCGGUUGCAUCUGUGCCGCAGCAGGUAUAUCUCGAGGUGUCUGGGGCCGUGGUUGCGUCUGUGCCGCAGCAGGUAUAUCUCGAAGUGUCUGGGGCCAUGGUUGCGUCUGUGCCGCAGCAGGUAUAUCUCGAAGUGUCUGGGGCCAUGGUUGUGUCUGUGCCGCAGCAGGUAUACCUCUGGAAGGAUUGUGAGCCAAGGAUAAGUCCAUGUUGGAGAAGGUACACCUUGAAGCAUCAGUGGCUGUGCAUGGGGUCAUGCUGGAACAUUUCAAAGUGUGUGGCUAUGGACGAGCCCAUGACAGGGCAGGUUUAUUUCUGAGAGGACUGAAGUGACUGUGACUGUGGACAAGGCCACGCUGGAGCAAGUAUAUCUAUGAAGGUAUUGUGGCCCAUGGAGAAGGCCAUGCUGGAACAGGUGCACCUCGAAGUGACUGUGGCUGUGGAUAAGUCUAUGCCACAGCAGGUAUACCCCUGGAGAGACUGUGGCUCGUGGAUAAGGCUCCACUUGGAGCAGGUACACCCCUAAGGGACUGCAGUCUGUGGAUAAGUUCAAGCCGGAGCAGGGGCAAGGGGAGGUGUUCAUUGCAAUGGUAAACUUGAUGGUCUGACUCGAAGGGACCAGGGGUGGAGAUUGUAAUGGAAAUACCUUUAAAUUGUUGUAACCCAUGAUUUGAGUUGCAUGUUACAGGAAUUACUAUAGCAGAAAUCACCUGAACCAAUGGAGAACAAGCCUUACAAGAAGCAGCGCAAGUGCAGCAGUGGACCUGACCUGAGCUGGUUUUGGUGCCCAGUAACUCCACACGUCAACCACCUCUCCUUUUCUGAGUGACCACCAUGGUGGAUGGAGCCCAAGGUUGUGGACCAAGUCAACCCAAUGGACAUUUUGUGGACAUUUAUGGACAUUUUAAAAGGGUGGUCCACAGACUAAGGGAAUGAUAUCAGCAUAUUAUAUCAAGGGAUGAGAAGGGUGGUGGUGCUUAAUGAGGAUGUAUUGAAUUGUGUGGGACCUGAGCAUGACGUAAAUAGUAUGGAAUAAGGGGUGGAUAAUGUCCUGGUUUUAGCUGAGAGGGUUGAUUUUCUUCAUAGUAGCUAGUGUGAGGAUAUGUUUUGGAUUUGUGCUGGAGACAGUGUUGAUAAUAUAGAGAUGUUUUUGUUCUAUGGACUUAUUGUUGAGCAGUGUUUACACAGGGCCAAGGCCUUUUCUGCUUCUUGCACUGCCCUGCCAGCGGGAUGGCUGGGAGUGCACAAGAAGUUGGGAGGAGACAGACAGGACAGGUGACCCAAACUGACCAAAGGGAUAUUCCAUACCAUAUGACGUCAUGCUCAGUUUAUAAGGAGCUUGGGGGGAAGAGAAGGGGGGGGCGGCGGUGUUCGGAGUGAUGGCGUUUGUCUUCCCAAGUAACCGUUAUGCGUGACAGGGCCCUGCUUCCCUGGAGAUGGCUGAACACCUGCCUGCCCAUGGGGAGUGGUGAAUGAAUUCCUUGCUUUGCUUUGCUUGUGCGCGCGGCUUUUGCUUUACCUAUUAAAAUGUCUUUAUCUCAA